ensembl:snRNA U1 U1 spliceosomal RNA
ACACUUACCUGGCAGGGGAGAUACCAUGAUCACGAAGGUGGUUUUCCCAGGGGUGAGGCUUAUCUAUUGCACUCUGGAUGUGCUGACCCCUGCAAUUUCCCCAAAUGUGGGAAACUCGACUGCAUACUUUGUGGUAGUGGGGACUGUGUUUGCGCUUUCCCCUG